GAAAGCCUCAAUUUGUAGAAUGCAAGCCACCAAAUUGGACCCCCAGAUUCUCUUUAAACCCAAAAUUUCAAAUCAAUUUUACCACACAAUUGGACCACGAAGCUUGAUUUUUGCAGUAUUUCAUAGGGAAGUGAGUCUUCCAGAGCAAGAUCAGCAAGAGCAAAUGCUAGGGGGCAGAGGGUGUUUUGUAGUGUGGAUUUUUUCUGCUUGUGUUGUUGCAGCAAGAGCAGAUGUAGUUUUUUGAAGGCAGCAACUGGAUUAUUGCUAGUUUUUUUUAUGUACAGAUUAUAAUUGCAAAAAAAGAAAAUUGUUGCUUGUUUUAUUUUGAGGCCCCAUUUGUAUCCUAUUUUUCCUGCCGUGUUAGUAAUUUUUUUACCGUUACCCAACCCACCUUCUUACAUCCCAUUAGUCUUCUACUGUACCAUAGUACACAUCUAUUUUUCCUUUUUCUCAUUUUGCCCUUCCCCUCAAACGAAGAAAAAAUCUUCUACCAAUGGGGAAGACGAAACUGUAGAAUGGGUGACGACGAUUUAAAGCAUCCAGUGAAAUUGUUUGGCCCAAUUCGAUAUAAGGUCGUUGAGCACUAUAGCUGCAAAAUAUCCUCCUCCUGCAUCGGUGUCGCUGCUGCCUUCCCUUCGCAUCGUUAUCAGAACGAAUGGAACCGAUCGACAAACAGGUAUUUCGAUAGCCUAUACUUUCUUCUGGUAAAUGCUAUUUGUUGAUGUCCAAUCUUGAUGUGCAUAGAUGGGCUACAUUUCGCACGGUAACUCGUCCACUCUACCUGAACUCACACGUGCCUUAAGCUCGAAAACAUAUGCGCGGUUAAACCAAAUGGAGUGUAAAACAUUCAUUGCAGCUUGUGAAACUGCCAUUGUCAAGGGUCAUCGAAAUGGUCGGUGUUUUACGAAACACAGCUGGAAGCGUGUGAGUGAGCUAUUCAACUCUAUCUCUAGCCACAACUGGAGCAAGUAACAACUGUGCAACUACAGGGACGCAAUGCGUCAAACCUACAAACAUCUUUACGAGCUGUUGACUUGCAGUGGGGUUAAAUAAAACCUAUCCACUUGUCGAAUUGUAGCAUCGGAGGAAUGGUGUACUCGAAAGAUCAUGGUAACCUAUUUUCUUGUCGGAAUGCCUCUGUAUGGAUAAUUGUACAUUGGCGCGCCAUUCGGCACGCUACGGUCUUG
rnacentral:lncRNA from 1 species